GACGAACGCUGGCGGCGUGCCUAAUACAUGCAAGUCGAACGGACAGGCCAUGAUCUUGUGGGGCGCACGAGAGCCGAGCGGGUGAGAAAAACGCGAGUAAAAUGCACUUGUCUUUGGGAUAAAUCUACGAGAAUGGGGCUAAUACAGGAUAGGAGCUACUGCUGCACGGUGGGGGUUGGAAAGAUUCGGCGGUUGUGGCUGGACUCGCGGCUUAUCAGCUUGUUGGUGGAGUUGUGGCUGACCAAGGCUACGACGGGUAGCAGGCCUGGGAGGGUGACCGGCCACAUUGGGACUGAGGUACGGCCCAGACUCCUACCGGACGCAGCAGUGGGGAAUAUUGCACAAUGGGCGGACGCCAGUGGCAGCAACGCCGCGUGCGUGAUGACGUCCUUCGGGUUGUGAACCGCUUUCGCCUGUGACGAAGCGUGAGUGACGGUAAUUGGUAAAGAAGCACCGGCUAACUACGUG
rnacentral:rRNA from 1 species